AUUGAACGCUGGCGGCAGGCUUAACACAUGCAAGUCGAGCGAGCGGCGGACGGGUGAGUACUGUCUGGGAAACUGCCUGCUGGAGGGUGAUAACUACUGGAAACGGUAGCUAAUAUCUCAUACUAUCAGAUGUGCCCAGAUGGGUUUAGCUAGUAGGUGGGGGAAUGGCUCACCUAGGCUACGAUCCCUAGCUGGUCUGAGAGGAUGACCAGCCACACUGGAACUGAGACACGGUCCAGACUCCUACGGGAGGCAGCAGUGGGGAAUAUUGCACAAUGGGCGCAAGCCUGAUGCAGCCAUGCCGCGUGUAUGAAGAAGGCCUUCGGGUUGUAAAGUACUUUCAGCGGGGAGGCGUUACCCGAAGAAGAAGCACCGGCUAACUCCGUGCCAGAAGGCGCGGUAAUAC
rnacentral:rRNA from 1 species